CGCACAUUGCGCCCUUUGGUACUCCAAAGGGCAUGCCUGUUCGAGCGUCAUUACCACCCCUCAAGCCCCCUUGGGUUUGGCAUUGGACGGUCUUGGUUUUCCAUUCGGCGUGAGUCGGGAAGACCCCUCCUAAAGUGAAUGACGGCGGCUUGUCUGACCCCCGGUACAUUGAGCUUCUUCACUGAGCACGUAUCGGUCUUCAAGUGGUUGACAGACGACCGGUCCCCUCCCUCUCACGAGGGAAAAAGGAAGCGAUUCCUUUUCUUUUUACAAGGUUGACCUCGGAUCAGGUAGGGAUACCCGCUGAACUUAA
rnacentral:misc_RNA from 1 species